UGAGGAACAUGACCUUCGGCGGGGGAGUAGCCGGCCCAACGGCCGGGUAAUACCGCGUACGACCACAUGGGGACAUCCCUGAGUGGUGAAAGCAGCAAUGCGCCGAUGGAGUGCCUCGCGGCCUAUCAGCUAGUUGGUGAGGUAACGGCUCACCAAGGCGACGACGGGUANCUGGUCUGAGAGGAUGGCCAGCCACAUUGGGACUGAGACACGGCCCAGACCUNUACCGGGGAGG
rnacentral:rRNA from 1 species